rnacentral:rRNA from 1 species
CGUUCGCUCCCCUAGCUUUCGCGCCUCAGCGUCAGUGUCAGCCCAGCCACCCGCCUUCGCCGCAGGUGUUCCUCUCGAUAUCUACGCAUUUCACCGCUACACCGAGAAUUCCAGUGGCCCCUUCUGCACUCCAGCUCCACAGUCUCACCUGGCCGCCGGAGGUUAAGCCUCCAGAUUUCACAAGUGACUUGUAGUGCCGCCUACGCGCCCUUUACGCCCAGU